AUGAUCAUCCACAAGUUGUUGAAUUUAAACAAAGGAUCAUUCGACGAUAGAGCUUUGUCAUUCACCAAGGGUGUUAGAAGCAUUGCUGAAAUGGUCACUCUUAUUGAAGAAACAUUUUGCAAUAUAGUUGGAAUGACUUUCAGGUUCGUUGCUAACCCUUUUGGCUGGUAUUAUGAGUUGUGUCCAACUUGUAACAAAACAAAUCAAACUCCCGACUCCCCAUUCCAAUGCAAUUGUUCUGAAGUCAGUUCUGCCAUUAUAACUAAGUCUUUGCAACGGUACAAGAUUAACAAUAACAAGGCUAGUAAAUCAUGUCACCGAGGUUAA